rnacentral:rRNA from 1 species
UGGGAACGUGCCUUUCGGUUCGGGAUAACCCAGGGAAACUUGGGCUAAUACCGGAUACGCCCUUCGGGGGAAAGAUUCAUUGCCGAAAGAUCGGCCCGCGUCGGAUUAGCUAGUUGGUGGGGUAAAGGCCUACCAAGGCGACGAUCCGUAGCUGGUCUGAGAGGAUGACCAGCCACACUGGGACUGAGACACGGCCCAGACUCCUACGGGAGGCAG